AAUCACUUGCCCAAGCCUUUCCAUAAGCCCUAACAAUCUCCCCUAUAAUCUCUGCGCGAAUAGUUAAUUUUUUUCUUAACAAUAUACCUUGUUUUAAAGUCUCAAAAUAAGUGUAAUUCCUGAGCUGUCAACGAUUUUCUCGAUUGGAGAUUAAUCAGCAACAGAAUCACGAAGAGGUGUUUCAAUGCCCUAACGAUAAUAACGAAUCAAUUCAAUCAACAGAAGGAAAAUAAAUUCAUCAACGUUAUCACAAUUGGAGGAUACCGCAAAAAGUGGAAAAUUCAUCAUACAGCAGAUCGUAAUUAUUUGUAUUUGUAUAGUUGUAUGAUUACAAUUUCAACCUGUUGUAAUUUUCAAAAAUAAAGCAUUUGCCUUUUA